rnacentral:rRNA from 1 species
GUACAUCCAGAGAACUUGGCAGAGAUGCCUUGGUGCCUUCGGACCGUCUGAGACAGGUGCUGCAUGGCUGUCGUCAGCUCGUGUUGUGAAAUGUUGGGUUAAGUCCCGNAACGAGCGCAACCCCUAUCCUUUGUUGCCAGCGAUUCGGUCGGGAACUCAAAGGAGACUGCCGGUGAUAAACCGGAGGAAGGUGGGGAUGACGUCAAGUCAUCAUGGCCCUUACGAGUAGGGCUACACACGUGCUACAAUGGCGCAUACAAAGAGAAGCGACCUCGCGAGAGCAAGCGGACCUCAUAAAGUGCGUCGUAGUCCGGAUCGGAGUCUGCAACUCGACUCCGUGAAGUCGGAAUCGCUAGUAAUCGUAGAUCAGAAUGCUACGGUGAAUACGUUCCCGGGCCUUGUACACACCGCCCGUCACACCAUGGGAGUGGGUUGCAAAAGAAGUAGAUAGCUUAACCUUCGGGAGGGCGUUUACCACUUUGUGAUUCAUGACUGGGGUGAAGUCGUAACAAGGUAGGCGUAGCGAG